rnacentral:misc_RNA from 1 species
CCUUAUCAAUUUUGAGGAAGGAGAAGUCGUAACAAGGUUUCCGUAGGUGAACCUGCGGAAGGAUCAUUGUCGAAACCUGCAAAGCAGAAAGACCAGCGGACCCAUUACAACACCCAGGGGUGACCCCAACCCCUGACGCUGAGUGUGUGCAGCCCUGCCUUGCGCCCUCAGCAUAAAACGAACCCAGGCGCGGAACGCGUCAAGGAAUCAUAACGAAACGAGCUCCUGCCGUGGCCCCGGGGACGGUGAUCGCCGCAGCAGCUGUGUUGUGCUUGGUUAAGUCUAAAAUGACUCUCGGCAACGGAUAUCUCGGCUCUCGCAUCGAUGAAGAACGUAGCGAAAUGCGAUACUUGGUGUGAAUUGCAGAAUCCCGUGAACCAUCGAGUCUUUGAACGCAAGUUGCGCCUGAAGCCAUCAGGCUGAGGGCACGUCUGCCUGGGCGUCAAACACCGAUGCCCCCCCAAAUCCCCUCGUCACUCUCCCCUGAGUGCCCGGGGAGUGUGGGGGUCGGAUGAUGGCCUCCCGUGUCUUGGCUCGCGGUUGGCCCAAAGUCGAGUCCUCGGUCACGGUUACCGUGGUGACAGGUGGUUGUCGGUCGCUCGGUACCCCGUCACGUGCGCCGGACACGAAUCGAGACUCUCUUGAUUACCCCAACGCAUCCCCGUUUGGGUGCCUCUGAUGUGACCCCAGGUCAGGCGGGGCUACCCGCUGAGUUUAAGCAUAUCA